GACGAACGCUGGCGGCGUGCUUAACACAUGCCAGUCGAACGGAAAGGCCCUGCUAUCGUGGGGUGCUCGAGUGGCGAACGGGUGAGUAACACGUGAGUAACCUGCCCUUGACUUUGGGAUAACUUCAGGAAACUGGGGCUAAUACCGUAUAGGAGCUCCUGCUGCAUGGUGGGGGUGGGAAAGUUUCGGCGGUCGGGGAUGGACGCGCGGCUUAUGAGCUUGUUGGUGGGGUAGUGGCUUACCAAGGGUGUGACGGGUAGCCGGCCUGAGAGGGUGAACGGGCACCAUGGGCCUGAGAGACGGAGCAGUGUGCAACAGGAGACAGCGGUGGCGAGUCUUGCCCAAUGAGCGGGAGCCUGAUGAAGAAGCGUUCGGGUCGGAAAGACGGCCUGUGGGUUGAGAACAGCUUUAGGCUGAGACGAAGCGGUAGUGACGGUACUGGGUGAAGAAGCACCGGCUAACUACGUG
rnacentral:rRNA from 1 species